rnacentral:rRNA from 1 species
CCUACGGGUGGCAGCAGUGGGGAAUAUUGCACAAUGGGGGAAACCCUGAUGCAGCGACGCCGCGUGAGUGAAGAAGUAUUUCGGUAUGUAAAGCUCUGUCAGCAGGGAAGAAAGUGACGGUACCUGACCAAGAAGCCCCUGCUAACUACGUGCAAGCAGCCGCGGUAAUACGUAGGGGGCAAGCGUUAUCCGGAUUUACUGGGUGUAAAGGGAGCGUAGACGGCAGGGCAAGUAUGGAGUGAAAGGCGGGGGCUCAACCCCCGGAGUGCUCUGGAAACUGCCAGGCUGGAGUGCAGGAGAGGGAAGUGGAAUUCCUAGUGUAGCGGUGAAAUGCGUAGAUAUUAGGAGGAACACCAGUGGCGAAGGCGGCUUACUGGACUGUAACGGACGUUGAGGCUCGAAAGCGUGGGGAGCAAACAGGAUUAGAUACCCCUGUAGUC